GCGAACGCUGGCGGCAGGCUUAACACAUGCAAGUCGAGCGGGCAUCUUCGGAUGUCAGCGGCAGACGGGUGAGUAACACGUGGGAACGUACCCUUCGGUUCGGAACAACUCUGGGAAACUGGAGCUAAUACCGGAUACGCCCUUAUGGGGAAAGGUUUACUGCCGAAGGAUCGGCCCGCGUCUGAUUAGCUAGUUGGUGGGGUAACGGCCUACCAAGGCGACGAUCAGUAGCUGGUCUGAGAGGAUGAUCAGCCACACUGGGACUGAGACACGGCCCAGACUCCUACGGGAGGCAGCAGUGGGGAAUAUUGGACAAUGGGCGCAAGCCUGAUCCAGCCAUGCCGCGUGAGUGAUGAAGGCCUUAGGGUUGUAAAGCUCUUUUGUCCGGGACGAUAAUGACGGUACCGGAAGAAUAAGCCCCGGCUAACUUCGUG
rnacentral:rRNA from 1 species